AUACGUAGGGGGCGAGCGUUGUCCGGAAUGAUUGGGCGUAAAGGGCGCGUAGGCGGCUUUGCAAGUCAGAAGUGGAAGUCCAUUUUUCAAGGAUGGACGUGCUACAGAAACUGCGGAGCUUGAGUGCAGGAGAGGUUAUCGGAAUUCCCGGUGUAGCGGUGAAAUGCGUAGAGAUCGGGAGGAACACCAGUGGCGAAGGCGGGUAACUGGCCUGAAACUGACGCUGAGGCGCGAAAGUGUGGGUAGCAAACAGGAUUAGAUACCCUGGUAGUCCACACUGUAAACGAUGAAUGCUAGGUGUAGGAGGUAUCGACCCCUUCUGUGCCGCAGUAAACACAGUAAGCAUUCCGCCUGGGGAGUACGGUCGCAAGAUUAAAACUCAAAUGAAUUGACGGGG
rnacentral:rRNA from 1 species